rnacentral:rRNA from 1 species
AUUGAACGCUGGCGGCAGGCUUAACACAUGCAAGUCGAGCGGAGAGAGGUAGCUUGCUACUGAUCUUAGCGGCGGACGGGUGAGUAAUGCUUAGGAAUCUGCCUAUUAGUGGGGGACAACAUUUCGAAAGGAAUGCUAAUACCGCAUACGUCCUACGGGAGAAAGCAGGGGAUCUUCGGACCUUGCGCUAAUAGAUGAGCCUAAGUCGGAUUAGCUAGUUGGUGGGGUAAAGGCCUACCAAGGCGACGAUCUGUAGCGGGUCUGAGAGGAUGAUCCGCCACACUGGGACUGAGACACGGCCCGGACUCCUACGGGAGGUAGCAGUUGGGAAUAUUGGACAAUGGGCGCAAGCCUGAUCCAGCCGUGCCGCGUGUGUGAAGAAGGCCUUAUGGUUGUAAAGCACUUUAAGCGAGGAGGAGGCUACUUUAGAUAAUACCUAGAGAUAGUGGACGUUACUCGCAGAAUAAGCACCGGCUAACUCUGUGCCAGCAGCCGCGGUAA